UACGGAGGGAGCAAGCGUUACUCGGAAUUAUUGGGCGUAAAGGGCGCGUAGGCGAUGUAGCAAGUCUGCUGUGAAAGCCCCCGGCUUAACCGGGGAAGUGCAGAAGAUACUGCUUCAUUUGAGUUCCGGAGAGGAAGGCAGAAUUCCCGGUGUAGCGGUGAAAUGCGUAGAGAUCGGGAGGAAUACCAGUGGCGAAGGCGGCCUUCUGGACGGAUACUGACGCUGAGGCGCGAAAGCUAGGGGAGCAAACGGG
rnacentral:rRNA from 1 species